UGUGGCAGAGGUGAUGAAGAAGCUGGUAGCCAUUGCUCCGGUUCAUUGUCGCCUGUUCAUUACUGAGCUAUCAGAAUCUGUCCAGAAAUUGACAAGAUGUGCUAUGGAUGAGUUGCACAUGUUUGGAGAGGCAGUGAAAGCACUUCUCAGUACAUCAUCUUCUGAUGGAGCUGCAAUAUUAAGAGUUCUUCAGGCAUUAAG
rnacentral:misc_RNA from 1 species